rnacentral:rRNA from 1 species
AGCUGGGUUCAGAACGUCGUGAGACAGUUCGGUCCCUAUCCGUCGUGGGCGCAGGAAAUUUGAGAGGAGCUGUCCUUAGUACGAGAGGACCGGGAUGGACGCACCGCUGGUGUACCAGUUGUCUUGCCAAAGGCAUCGCUGGGUAGCUAUGUGCGGAAGGGAUAAGUGCUGAAAGCAUCUAAGCAUGAAGCCCCCCUCGAGAUGAGAUUUCCCAUAGCGUCAAGCUAGUAAGAUCCCUGAAAGAUGAUCAGGUUGAUAGGUCAGAGGUGGAAGCGUGGCGACAUGUGGAGCUGACUGAUACUAAUCGAUCGAGGACUUAACCAA